rnacentral:lncRNA from 1 species
ACACAGAACUUACAACACAGUGACAUUUUUUCCUUUAUCUUCUUAUGGAAAUCUAUUGAGAAAAUAUGGCCCUCUACUUUCUUCUGAAAAACUUCUAAAAAGUGGAACGUGGUGAAUUAUGACAGGAACAACCAAGUGCAUACGCAGUCAGAUGACACAAUUCCACUCAGUAAAAAUUCACAGAUAUAACAUUUAAUGAAGCAGUCUUUUGUUCUGCUGCAACAGAGCCAAUCAUUUCCACAAGAAUGGGCGCAAGGAAAACAUUUAAUGCAAAACCUGCUCCAGGAUAAUGAAUUUUCCUACCAGAUGUCCUGACUCCUCUUAGCCCUUCUGGGCAUCGCUGUACUUCACGACUGCCACCCUCAGCUUACAAAGCCAGACCUCUGCAGCAAGCGAGCUGCACAUCCCGUCACCCCGCUGCAGCAAGCUGCGUAACAACGCUUGGCAGAGCUGCCUUCCAGCAGCCACGAGCAGUUGUUUGAUCACAGUGCAGCAGCCACGGCGGGCACGGGUCACUUCCCUGCACUCUGCUGCCCUCCGCGACGAGGCUGAUAACUCCUGACAGCGAUAGGCGCAGAGAUGACCGACCGCUGUGCAGUUGAUGUGGAAUAUAAAGCAGGUUCUGGAGCUCGGUGUCAACCACCAUUUCAGCCAGAGAAAACGAAACUCCUGGGCCCAGCAGUGCAGAACAGACAGGUACCAGCUCUGCAGCAGCAGCUUCCAGCCAUGCCCUCCGGUCAGCCCCCGGGCGUCCUCCUCGCAGCACACACCAACACAACUCCCACCGAGUGCCCAAGGUGCUUUUCUCCAGUAAAGGCUGACAGAGAUGCCAGGAGGCUCACUCUCACAGGUUAAGAACUGCUUCACAGAACAAAUACGGAGGGAAAACUUUGUGAGAUUUCACAAGUGGUACUUCUGAGCCCGACCGUGCAGCUGCGCGCCUCGCUGAGAAGUGACCCGAGCACGUGAGCAGCCGGAGCACGGCGCAGCCGUUGCACUCCGCAGGUGCCCCGCGCUGAGGAAACCGUGAGAGAUUUGCACCCAAUCACGGCAGCUGCUGCCUCCUUCCAAACUUAAAUGAGCUUGCCCUCACCCCACCAUCACGAUGAGCCAUUAGUUGAUUCGGACGCCCGGCUAGCAGUACAGGCUUUCU